rnacentral:rRNA from 1 species
UACGUAGGGACCGAGCGUUGUCCGGAAUCAUUGGGCGUAAAGAGCGUGUAGGCGGCCACUUAAGUCCUGCGUGAAAUCUUGCGGCUCAACCGCAAGCGGUCGUGGGAAACUGGGUGGCUAGAGUGCGGGAGAGGAGAGUGGAAUUCCUGGUGUAGCGGUGGAAUGCGCAGAUAUCAGGAGGAACACCCGUGGCGAAAGCGGCUCUCUGGGACGGUACUGAUGCUGAGACGCGAAAGCGUGGGGAGCAAACAGG